AGUUUCUCCAGCAUUUUUGUCUACCAUCAGUUAACUGCCUGCACGAGAUCCAUAUCCCUCCAUUCCCUGCAUAUUCACGUGCCUAUCUAAACGUCUUUUAAACAUCACUGUCGUGUCUGCCUCCAGCACCGC